CAAACCCGGUGAACUCAGUUUAUGGCCAUCAAACAUGUUCUGAUGCUCUUCAGGCCUGUAGUUCCUUAGGCAGUGCUUUGGUUGGGCUGGCAGGGUCUUAAAUACCAUUUUGCUGCCUGUGCUGUGAGCAAGCAGUGAUUGAGGGCAGCUGCUGAAAAGCAAAUACCGUGUUCUGACUUGUAAUCUAAAAAGAGGCAUUGCUCAGAAGGUGGUUUUGGAUUCCUGGUGCGUUCCUGCUGUUCUCUUCAAAGCUUCAGCCACACAUAGGUUGAUGGACAUCCUUCUUCUCCCUGGACAUUUUCUCUCUCAGUUAUUAAUGUACAGCCUGCUACCUUCCAGCUCCAGCCUCAGAAGGAAAAUGUCUCCCCAGCUGCAACACAUGGAGGGAAAAGUUGACUGACAUCUUUGCAUUUGUUAGGGGAGCAUUGUAAAUGGCUGUUCCCUGCCAAGAAAUUUCUUUUGAGAAGUUACAUUUAGUCAGUAAAAUAACACCUGAGCAUGCCAAACCGGAGUUGGAAAAAGGUAAAUUUAAUCAUAGGACUGAAAAGGAAUUCUUUAAUACACCUGAACUGAAGAAAAUAAAGAAGAAUUAACUCUUUCCAUGGACAAAUGGGAAAAGACUUGUCCCCUGCAGCCCUGGAGGAGCCCACACCAGAGCAGGUGGAUGUGCCUGAAGGAGGCUGCGAGCCCAUGGAAACCUGUGCUGGAGCAGGCCCUGCCAGGAGCUGCGGCCUGUGGAGAGAGCAGAGCAGCCCACACUGGAGCAGGCUCCUGGCAGGAGCUGUGACCCCACAAGGGACCCACAGUGGAGCAGCCUGUUCCUGAGGGACUGCACCCUGGGGAGGAGACCUUGCUGGAACAUUCCAUGAGGAAAUGCAGCCUCUGGGAAGGACUAACCUUAGAGAAGUCCAUGGAGGACUGUCUCACUGGAAGGAACUCACAAUGAAACAGUGGAAGAGUCUGAGGAGUCCUCCCCAUGAAAAAGGAGCAGCAGGGACACCACUGAUGAACUGAUUUCAUCCUCAAUUCCCUGUCCCCUCGUGUCAUGGGGGGAGUGGAGGCAGGGAAACCAUGAAUGAAGCUGAGCCUGGGAAAAGAGGGGGGGAUGCUCUCCUUAAAAAGGAGAAGGCCUUUUUAAGAUUCAUUCUUACUUCUUAUUAAUCAACUCUGAUUUAAUUGGCAGUAAGUUAAAGUAACAUCUGUGGGUGUUCAUCCAGUUACCAUCACCCAUGGUGGUAACUGGUGAGUGACCUCUCCCUGUCCUUAUCCUAACCCAUGAACCUUCAAUUUUAUGUUCUGCCCCUGCCCUGUUGAGGAGGGGAGUGACAGAGUGGCCUUGGCAGGCACCAGCCAAGGCCAACCCACCACAAACACUUAAGCACAACUGCACCCCUUACUAUCAUCUCUUCAACUGUGUGAGCUUUUGGAAAACCUUUAUAGCAGGAUUUUCAGUCCCUUUAGAUAUGGCUGAGUAUGGGGAUUUUUGAAGGCAUUUUGAGAUGGGAUUUCUGAGUUUUUUUAGAUGAUGUGAUUUAUUUUUUUUUUCUUCUGCAUAGGCAGGAAGGGUGAGUUCAGCUCACAUCCUUACUGUGUGGUUCAGAAGGUCACAAUACCCUUAGUUAUAAGACAUUUUAAGGAUUUAUUGACCAAUAAAACACUGCUAAAAAGGAUAUUUAUGUUUUUGUCCCAAUGCUUAAGUAUUUCAUCUUAUGAACUCAUGUUACAGUGUAAGCUUUCUUAGGCUAUGAUACACAAGCCUUUAGUACUGCAUUCUAAACUUCUUGUUUACCUUUGUAACUACUUUUAUUUUUUCUAUAUCCUAAACUCCAAAACUCUAAACCUUCUUCUUCUUAAUUCAAUGUGUCUCUGCUUCAAACUAUAAAUCCACAUUCUUGCUUAUAGUACUUAAGUUUGGAAGACUUUUCCAAGGUCUCAAAUCAAAUCCUGUGUUUAAUUCUAAGCUUUAGCUUACAGGCUCAAAGUUCUGAGAAUUCCCUGCAUUUCAGAAUCCACCAGCUGAGUUUAAAAGGUGUUGACAAGGAUUUCAUGUGUCUCUAUUAUUUGUUCAGUUUGUUUAACUGUUGGUCUGCCAGCAGGGCCACCCAGGCAGCCACGCUUGCAGGAUGAGCUUGUUCAGUGAGAAUCACCCACUGAUUCAGAUCUCCCAAGCCUCCUGAAUGUCUCCCUGGGCCUGCUAGGAGAAGGUACAUGUUGCUUUAAUAACUGUGUGUUAUUAAAGUGUGGCCACCACCAAAUCCUCACUGAUGAGCAGUCCAAGCAAUCUGUCUCAUAUGAGGCGGGGAGUAGCUGUGCCACCAGUCAGUGGCCACUUUGAUGGGCCAAUUCCAUCAGAUUUUUGACAUGUGUUUGAUGGCAGUGAGGAGCAUGAAGUGAAGGACUGCUCUGUGGAGAACUGGUAGAGGAGAAGCCUUUCAAAAUGGUGCUUGGCUCAGGUGCUGGCUCAAAGAGCUGUGUUACAGAAGCUGUCCCCAGCUGUUUGAUUUAUCCUGUGCUCAAAGCAGCAGGGCUUCUUACAAUUUUGUAAAUAAUCCAAACUUCAUCAAAGAAGCUUUUAUUCCUGACUGGAGUUACCUAUUGGACACUGAGCUGGCCAACUGCCCAGCAUUCCUGCAGAAGGGAAACUGGCAGAUGAAGGAGAAUUAGGAAUCUUGAUUUUUUUUUACUUUUGUCAGCUGUGCUAAAGAGCCAUAGUAAAAAGUCUACUUUGAAAUAGUUUUAUCUAUGUAUUUUCAAAUUUCUGUGCAACAUCUUUCCAAAACAAACGUGCCAAAGGAAAGUGGUAAAAAUGUCAUCUUCUUCCCUAAACAGUCUUGGUCCUUCUUAUUCUAUGCUAUAUUUCGUCAUGUUAAUGGCAAAAUGAAGUCCCUGCUACAGUCUGCUUCAACCACAGCUUCAUAAAAAUAAUUUACUGAAAUUUUACUUCCAAUGCAGUAGUACAGCUAAGAGCAACAUGGCCUUGAAAAGGAUCAGAAAUAGCUUCUGUCAUAAAACAGGAUGUCAGAAGCACUUAGCACUUUGUAUUAGCCUUGUGUUAAUAAUGAUGAACAAAAACAUAUUCAAAUGUGACAUUCAUGUCUGAGGCCAAUUGAUAACCAGAUGUAAGUAAUGCUUUGGUUUUGGCUGCAGGAUGUUUGUGACUGAUGGUGACGGGCCAAGCUGGUUCUCCAGUUCCAGGCUGAGUUUGCACAGAGAGAAACAGUGCAUUUGAUUUAAAGAAGAGGCAAAUUCCUAAUUUUGGGUUUGGGAUUGUUUGGUUUUGGGGUUUUUUUGCAGAGCUGUGUUUCAGAGUGGGACCAUGUUUCCAGGAUAAGGAGUGCUUUCUUUGCUUUGGCACAGUGUCUGGUCCUGCUCUCCUGCUCUGAGCAGUGGGAGAUCACCUUGCUGGGUUUCAGCCACAGGUAUGUUUUGACCAUUAAGGCCAGUAAAAUCUUGUGUCUUCUGCUCAUGCAUUUGUUCUGCUCAUGCAUUUGCUACUUGGGUCACGGUUUUCUAAAAUUUUCUUUCUGAAGGGCUUAACUGUGUAGUAAACAGGUAUUAAUUAAAACCACUGUUUUAUCCCUUAGCAAAGAGAAUUAAGCUGGCACCUAAGUAAAUAUUAGGGAAAACACUUAGUGAGAAGAGGCCGUACAUACCAAAGUAGGACACCUUGAUGCAGAUGGCUGACUCAUCAGUGUGACACAUUCUGUGUUAAAUAUGGAAAGCUCAGAUGUCAUUUGUUGUACCUCAGCAAGAGCAGAAUGAGAUUUUUUUUCUUCUUCUUCUUCCAAAGAUGCCUUGUAAACCAGGCAGAGAUUUUGAUUUACUGUCUAUGCAGGUGAACACACCAAUACACUGUGCAGCUCCUCUCAUUCCUUUGCUGCAGCCCAGGGCCUUCCUCACAGAUGCAUUCCUGCUGUUUCGAGGUUCCUGCACCACACCAGGGCCACCCUUUUAGGCUGCUGGAUGUAUUUUUAUUACCAGUUACUGGCUGAGUUUCUCCACUAAGAUUUUGUUUCCAACUUCCAUCUUAAUUUGCAACCAGCGAUAAUUUAGCUGCAAUCCUUUUCCAUCUCUCCUCCCUGGGGAAGUAAUUUGAGCCCUGAAGGUCUAAUCCUGGCUUCACUGAUGUAGCUUAUGGCUGUGAGCAUCCCACUGUCCCAGGAGCUGUGGGAGGCAGAUUUUUGGGAGGCUGUGUUGUGUAGCCAGCUGUGAAGCUGCACGGGAAAGUGAUUGAGGGUCACCUGCCACACGAUGCUGCUGCUCUAAGCCUGAGGCUCUGAGGCAGGUAGUUGCCAUUGCUCUGGCUUGGAGUUUUAAUGUAAGCAGAUUCAAGAGGAAAGGAAAGCUUCUUCUGGCCAGAUCAAGGCAACAUUUGCAAGAACUCAGUACCUUUAUAAAAAAAUAAAUACAAUAAUACAGAAGUAAGCGGCCCUCAGUGAUAGACCAGUGCAUUAAACUGAACAAGUAAUGCAAGCACUUUUUCACAUUUCCUUUCCUUUUCCUUCAAGAUACAGAAAAUAGUUUUGGGAAACCACUCUCUUGCCAAGUUUUUCAAGACUGUUUUUGUCAGGCUCAGUGCUGCUGCAUGUUUGGGCAUGCAGAGAAAGGCACCAAGCUUCACUCUGCAGCCAGCGAGGCUUCUGGAUAGGGAGUCCUCCUUCCCCGUAACAGCAUUCCUAGAAAAAGAGUCCCAUAACCUUUCCAGCUUUGCUGUGUAUUUCUGGUGUUGUUUUCACUCUCUUUGCUUUCAACAGUGAAGUUUCCAGUUCCCUAUCUUCUUCCUCAAUCUAGCUUUCAGGGAGAGAAAAAAAAUACACUAAUAGGGAGAAGCAUGAGCAUUCUAUGAAGGUACAAGGCUAAUGGUAAAACCAUAUUUUUUUCUGAGUUUUCUGACAGUCCCUGAUUACUAGUAAGGUUUCUGCUUUGUUUGAAUUCACUGUGAUAACUACAAACACUAAUUUUAAAAAACAGGAGACAUUCUAGCAUUACCUUGCUCUGUGUCUCAUAGUUAAAUAAUGUACUUCUCAAUCCUGAGAUGAGCUCAGUUGGUUAGAGCAUGGUGCCAAUAAUGCCAAGGUUGUGGGUUUGAUCUCCAUAUGGACCAUUCACUUGAUGGUCCCUGUGGGUCCCUUCCAACACAGAAUAAUCUGUGAUAAUGUGAUAUUUACUUUGUUCUGUACGUGUAGCCUUAUUAGUACAUAGCAGGAGUCCUUACAUAUUUAGCUUAUGAAUGAACUCUUAAAUGCAAUCAGGACUUAUGAAAAUGUACUUAUUCAAAUGGACAGCAAUAAAUUUUUAAUAACUGGCUAACCUUAGAAACAAUGCUAAGAUGCCCAUCAAUCUCUAUAGGCGGUUAAUGUCCUAAACAGCCUUUGUACCAACCAUUCAAAUUACCACAACGAUUUUAAUUAGGAAUGUGGUUUGCAGCGUAGAUUCACUUUAAAAAUUAUUUGCAGAUCCCCUAUGAAGAGAUUUCUGUUUGAAUAGCAGCUCUUUUGCAUCAGAUUUAUGUAUUUGCAUAGAUGGUAAAGUGCUUGCCACUGAAAUUGCUUUAAAAGCCAUCCCAUACAAUGGGAUAUAGCAAUAAUAUAAUUUUGCAAUACAGAAGAUAGAUGUUUUUUCACAGAUAUGAUCCAGCGCAGAAUUAACCCCCCAAAAUAUCAAUCCAUGUUUGACUUGUUUUGGUCCUUUAGGGGAUCAGUUCACAGGAUAAUACUCUGAAGCUCUCUACUUUGCAGUCAGCAGAGGCACCUGGAUUACAGGUGAACACAGAAAGGUGACAGUUCCAUGGGGUGCUCUGAGUCCCCCUUCUGAACUUCCCCAGCUAAGGGCAAGUACAUCCUCUCCAAAAAACAUCUUCUGGAAUUUUCUCCCAUUGCCAUAGUCAACCAUGCAAGCCAGUUCACAGCAAGGGGGCGAGACAGAGUGCUCCCUAGGACUUGACUUGGAUUUUAUUCUUCCACGUUUUCCCAGCUAACUUCGGCAAACUAAUUAGACACACUUCCAGAGCUGCCGGUGUAUUUAAUCUACAAAUGUUUAUCUGUUUUUUGCUCCCUGGGUAGAAGAUACUACAGAAGGUAUUGACAUCUGUGCCAGACUUAAAAACCUUCUGGCAUUCCCUGUGAUCACAACCCCCUGUCUGCCAUCAGGAGUACAAACCACCCGCACUAGCAGGGCGUGCCACCUCUGCCAGGAGCAGCACAGAGAGUGUGAUGCACUUGACUGAUUUCUCAGGAGAAAAAGCUGCAUUUCCAAAUUACCUUUCUCCCUUACAACAAUUUUUAUAGAGGCUCAGAGGUGGUGCUACCAAAUGCUUCUAGAUUUUUCCUCUACUUCCCAGCUGCUCACACACCUUUUCUGAGUUAAUGUGACUACUACUUCCUGGAAUCUGUGCUUUUCUCUCUCACUGACCCCAUGGCUCUGUUUACCUCAUAUUUACAGUUCUAAAAUUACCACUUAUUAUUUGAUUCUCUCUGCUUGGGUCUUUGGUCAUUGCAAAAGGGUGUAAACCUACCCAGAGUAUUUGACAUUUAUUCUACACACACUCCGAAUGCACACAAGUACUCUCUAUUUAGACAACAUGAAUGCUGCUCUAAUCACUGUUUAUCUUGUAAAUUACAACUCUGUGGAAACAUUUUCUUUGCGCCAUCUGGCUUGAUGUAUUUUUUAAUCAGUUGAUAAGUAUUUUUCUAUGUUACAAGGAGUAGAUAGUAAAGCAUUUGUUACACUAGGAUGUGAAGUAAAGAUUUUUCAAAGCUGAACUUGUAAAAAAUUCGCUGCAUUAAACAUUUUAAGUUUUGCCAAAAUACCAAAGACAGUUUUGGUGAAGGUUUCAUAGGGCUCAUUUUGGACAAUGAACAUCUGUCAAGAAAACUGCACAUUUUUUCUAAGAAUGCUGGUUGAACAGGACUCCUGUGUAGAAAUGAAAAGACAUCUCAAUUACAAACAGCACUUUGGCUAAUAAUUUCAUCCUUAUGAUUUCACUACUGUAAUUGUAGUGAAAUAAAAUAACCAAUACAGAUCCUUGCUGGCAAAGAAUUUCACUCAGAUACAAGAAGGAAGAUGCUAUUACAAUACAAGGAUUUCAGGAACUAGCAAUCAUUUCAACUCUCCUGGAGAUAAGAAAAUGAGAGUAUCGGGAAAUACUCAAAAUAAAAAAAUGCUUUUUAAAUGAGCAAAGGCGCACAGCACUUUCUCAUGUCUGCCUUUGGUCUUCCUAAAAUGCCAGUCACUCUUUUUCUAAAAAUACACAAAUUAUUGUAAUUGCAGAUAAAAAACUUAAAAGUAGCUUCUGCUGGAUUUUAACUCAAAGUCCUUUGAAGAUAAAUUUUAUUACUAAGUGUCUGCAUCUGAUUUUAUAAGUGUUCAGUACUGGCAUUUAGGCUGUUGAAAGUAGUAAUUAAAUACACAAAUUUUUAAGAAGCCUAGAACAUUGCCCUUGAAUCAUCCUAAGGGAGAAGCUUAAAAGA